rnacentral:rRNA from 1 species
GCUUAACCGGAGAAGUGCAUCGGAAACUGGGAGACUUGAGUGCAGAAGAGGACAGUGGAACUCCAUGUGUAGCGGUGGAAUGCGUAGAUAUAUGGAAGAACACCAGUGGCGAAGGCGGCUGUCUAGUCUGUAACUGACGCUGAGGCUCGAAAGCAUGGGUAGCAAACAGGAUUAGAUACCCUGGUAGUCCAUGCCGUAAACGAUGAGUGCUAGGUGUUGGAGGGUUUCCGCCCUUCAGUGCCGCAGCUAACGCAUUAAGCACUCCGCCUGGGGAGUACGACCGCAAGGUUGAAACUCAAAGGAAUUGACGGGGGCCCGCACAAGCGGUGGAGCAUGUGGUUUAAUUCGAAGCUACGCGAAGAACCUUACCAGGUCUUGACAUCUUCUGCCAAUCUUAGAGAUAAGACGUUCCCCUCGGGGACAGAAUGACAGGUGGUGCAUGGUUGUCGUCAGCUCGUGUCGUGAGAUGUUGGGUUAAGUCCCGCAACGAGCGCAACCCUUAUUAUCAGUUGCCAGCAUUAAGUUGGGCACUCUGGUGAGACUGCCGGUGACAAACCGGAGGAAGGUGGGGAUGACGUCAAAUCAUCAUGCCCCUUAUGACCUGGGCUACACACGUGCUACAAUGGACGGUACAACG